rnacentral:rRNA from 1 species
GAUGAACGCUGGCGGCGUGCCUAAUACAUGCAAGUCGAGCGAACGGACGAGAAGCUUGCUUCUCUGAUGUUAGCGGCGGACGGGUGAGUAACACGUGGAUAACCUACCUAUAAGACUGGGAUAACUUCGGGAAACCGGAACUAAUACCGGAUAAUAUUUUGAACCGCAUGGUUCAAAAGUGAAAGACGGUCUUGAUGUCACUUAUAGAUGGAUCCGCGCUGCAUUAGCUAGUUGGUAAGGUAACGGCUUACCAAGGCAACGAUGCAUAGCCGACCUGAGAGGGUGAUCGGCCACACUGGAACUGAGACACGGUCCAGAGUCCUACGGGAGGCAGCAGUAGGGAAUCUUCCGCAAUGGGCGAAAGCCUGACGGAGCAACGCCGCGUGAGUGAUGAAGGUCUUCGGAUCGUAAAACUCUGUUAUUAGGGAAGAACAUAUGUGUAAGUAACUGUGCACAUCUUGACGGUACCUAAUCAGAAAGCCACGGCUAACUACGUG